AAAUGCCACUUUGACUGUGUCUUCAACAGCAACGGUUCUGCCACCUCCUUUUUGCCUCAGCCAUGGGAAGCGCAUGGCCUGAGAGGGGCUGAUCCUUCAGUCUCAGCCCCCAAAUAAAGAAGAUAUAUUGAGCAGAACUGCAGCCAACCUGCAGCUGAUGACAUGUCAUAGUCAAGGAAACUUUUAUUUUGAGCAAUUUACAGUCCUGCCUCAGCCUCCUAAGUAGCUGGGAUUACAGGUGGAUACAACCACGCCUGUCUAAUGUCUUACUAACCUUGCUUAUUCCUGUGAACCAACCAGUGAUCUCUGGCUGCAGCUCAGAAGAAACAAAAGGGAUGGGUAAUGUAAAAAUCUGGAUCAAUAUUCUAG